UCCUGGCCGUAAACGCUGCCUGCUAGGUGUUGCACGUUCUUAGAGGGCGUGCAGUGCCGGAGCGAAGGUGUUAAGCAGGCCGCCUGGGGAGUACGGUCGCAAGGCUGAAACUUAAAGGAAUAGGCGGGGGAGCACAACAAGGGGGGAAGCGUGUGGUUCAAUUGGAUUCGACGCCAGGAAUCUCACCAGGGGCGACAGCAGGAUGAAGGCCAACCUAAAGGGCACCUCGCGCU
rnacentral:rRNA from 1 species